rnacentral:tRNA from 2 species
GGCGAGAUGGCCGAGCGGUCUAAGGCGCUGUGUUAAGGUGAAUCAUCAGUUCUCCUCCGCAGUCUUCGGACGUGGGUUCGAAUCCCACUCUCGUCA